UACGUAGGUCCCGAGCGUUGUCCGGAUUUAUUGGGCGUAAAGCGAGCGCAGGUGGUUUAUUAAAUCUGGUGUAAAAGGCAGUGGCUCAACCAUUGUAUGCAUUGGAAACUGGUAGACUUGAGUGCAGGAGAGGAGAGUGGAAUUCCAUGUGUAGCGGUGAAAUGCGUAGAUAUAUGGAGGAACACCGGUGGCGAAAGCGGCUCUCUGGCCUGUAGCUGACACUGAGGCUCGAAAGCGUGGGGAGCAAACAGG
rnacentral:rRNA from 1 species